AUUUCCAGUUUUCAAUUGUCAUUGCCAUUGGUGAGCAACAAGUCAUAGCCUCUUCUAAUAACUAAUUUAAAAAAAAUUCAAUUGCUGGAGAUAUACAAAAGUUAUUACAUUGCAGACAAAAAGUGAGCAUUCGUGAAGUGCCCAAUGCAACAGGAAACUAGUCGUGCUGAAAGGAUAACUGCCUGAGGCUUACAACUUGUAUAGCCUAUACGUCGUUACAGGUGAGAUAAAAUACGAAGAAGACCAUCCUUGUGAAAAAUAAGCUUUCGAGCACGGUCGUAUCCGGGAGAUCGCUUGAUCGUGGUUUGAAUUGGUGUAAGUCAACGCUGAUUUCGUGAGCUGAUAGGCAGCAUCAUGUCACUCGUUUUCACUGUCACCAACAGGAUUUUCAAGUGACUCCCUGGCAAAAUAAGCCCUACAUUUUCGUUGGGCUUAAAAAGUCUGACUCGACUUCGGUUUUAUUUCAUUUUUUGCUGAAAUCCAAAUACAGCAAGCUAUGCAAGAUUUCGAUUUAAAGCUAAACGGGGAUUAAGAAAAUUGACUUCGUUUGAUUCACAGAACUUGUUAUAAAAACAGAGAACCAGAGGUUGCUUAUCAAAAAAGGCCUAAAUCUAACAGAAACAAGUCUGAAGUUGAAGGCCAACUAAAGACCAAAACACCAUUUGCAUUUCUGGAUCAGACCAACAAUUCCUUAAUCGAACAUCGGUUUAGCAAGACUGUCAUUAUGAAAAUCAGCCAAAGUUCAAAAGAAGUCAAACAUCGUUAACACGGUAACAGUUUAUUGGAUCAAAAAAUACAGUCAUAAAUGCAAUGCAGUCUGCGGAGGACCGUUGCUUGUCGAAAAGAAAAGACUUUUGAAAUGUAUGAGCUGAUCAACUACAGUACUUUGCGAGUCUUUUAUAUGAAAUUAGGAGCGCUAUUAAAGUGCAUUUUGUUACGUGUUAUUUUCAGAAGUUGCACGUGGCCCUGUUGUCAACGAGAAACAAACAGGAUGCUGGCACGGUGUAAGUGACCUGCCCGACUUGCGAAUGAAAUGUAGCGUGAUGCGUGUGGCACAUGUGGUACGAAAUCCGCGUCUGUCGCUACUGCGUCAGCAUGCCACCGGUUGACACGUAAAAUGUUCGAGAUAUUUCUAACAAACGAAAACAGUAAAACACACGGCGAAACGAUGCUGUGGUCCCAUCUUUACUCUAUCAUCACUGUUUGCCACAAUCAGGUGUUUAAGAAUUAAUGGAAGAUGUGAUCCCUUUACAUAAAAUGCUUUAACCAAUAUGAAAAAAUUAAAACUCAUGAGAUUUUAAUAGCAGGUAAUAUGUAUAAGUUUACGGUGCAAAAGAUAAACAAACAAUGACUGUUGAAAUUCGAUGCAUACGGCUUGUGCAGGGUUUGUGUACGAGUUCAAAACCCCAUCGUUUACGUGAAAUGAUUGAAUACCGUGGAGUACCUUAAAAAUUGUCAUGUCUGUAAUUUACGUGUACCCAAUACAGCAAUAGGAAUAGC
rnacentral:lncRNA from 1 species